AUUGAACGCUGGCGGCAGGCCUAACACAUGCAAGUCGAGCGGCUGAAGGGAGCUUGCUUCUUGUUUCAGCGGCCGACGGGCGAGUAAUGGCUAGGAACCUGCGUGGCUGCGGGGUAUAGCGUGCGGACAUGGGGGAUCUUACCGUAAUCGUCCAUAGGGCCAAAGGGGGGGAUCUGCGGACCUUACGCCCUCGCGCGAUCCGAUGUGGGGUUAGCUAGUUGGUGGGGUAAAGGCCUACCAAGGCGACGAUCCGUAGCUGGUCUGAGAGGAUGAUCAGUCACACUGGAACUGAGACACGGUCCAGACUCCUACGGGAGGCAGCAGUGGGGAAUAUUGGACAAUGGGCGCAAGCCUGAUCCAGCCAUGCCGCGUGUGUGAAGAAGGUCUUCGGGUUGUAAAGCACUUUUAGUUGGGAAGAAGAGCAGUAGGUUAAUACCUUGCUGUUUUGACGGUACCAACAGAAUAAGCACCGGCUAACUUCGUG
rnacentral:rRNA from 1 species